GUGACCUGCGGAGGAUCAUUAAUAAAAGGAUACCCUCGGGUAUACCCCAUCCGUGUCUACAUACUCUUGUUGCUUUGGCAGGCCGUGGUCUCCCACUGUGGGCUCUGCCUGCAUGUGCCUGCCAGAGGACCAAACUCUGAAUGUUAGUGAUGUCUGAGUACUAUAUAAUAGUUAAAACUUUCAACAACGGAUCUCUUGGUUCUGGCAUCGAUGAAGAACGCAGCGAAAUGCGAUAAGUAAUGUGAAUUGCAGAAUUCAGUGAAUCAUCGAAUCUUUGAACGCACAUUGCACCCGGUGGUAUUCCGCCGGGUAUGCUUGUUCGAGCGUCAUUAUAACCACUCAAGCCUGUCUUGGUGUUGGGGAUUGCGAAUUUUGCAGCCCUAGAGUCCAGUAGCGUCACCUGCGGGUCCUAAGCGUAGUAAUUUCUCCUCGCUACAGAGCCUGCCGGUGGAUAGUGUAAAUCCAGUUAAGUCUGCGUGUCCUGCUAUUAAACCCCCAAUUUUUAAAGGUUGACCUCGGAUCAAGUAGGGAUACCCGCUGAACUUAAGCAUAUCAAAAGCGGGGAGGGAAUAAGUAAUUUGAGUUUUUAAUGAAUCUUCGUAUUAUUUCUUCCGAAUUAAAACCCCUUUCCUUUCCGACUGGAAUCUCUGUU
rnacentral:rRNA from 1 species